rnacentral:rRNA from 1 species
CACGUAGGGUGCGAGCGUUGUCCGGAAUUAUUGGGCGUAAAGAGCUCGUAGGCGGUGUGUCGCGUCGGCCGUGAAAACCUGCAGCUUAACUGUGGGCGUGCGGUCGAUACGGGCAUCACUGGAGUUCGGCAGGGGAGACUGGAAUUCCUGGUGUAGCGGUGAAAUGACGCAGAGUAUCAGGAGGAACACCCGGUGGCGAAGGCGGGUCUCUGGGGCCGAUACUGACGCUGAGGAGCGAAAGCGUGGGGAGCGAACAGG